rnacentral:rRNA from 1 species
AGAGUUUGAUCAUGGCUCAGGAUGAACGCUGGCGGCGUGCCUAACACAGUUCAAGUCGAACGGUGUUACGUUAGUAGCAAUACUGAGGUAGCAUAGUGGCGGACGGGUGAGUAACGCGUGAGCAACCCGACCUUUCAGAGGGGGAUAACACAGGGAAACUUGUGCUAAUACCGCAUAAUGUAUACUGGGGGCAUCCCCGGGAUACCAAAGGAGCAAUCUGCUGAAAGAAGGGCUCGCGUCCGAUUAGAUAGUUGGCGGUGUAACGGACCACCAAGUCUGCGAUCGGUAGCCGGACUGAGAGGUUGAACGGCCACAUUGGAACUGAGAAACGGUCCAGACUCCUACGGGAGGCAGCAGUGGGGAAUAUUGGGCAAUGGGCGAAAAAGCCUGACCCAGCGACGCCGCGUGAAGGAAGACGGUCUUCGGAUUGUAAACUUCAGUUAUACGGGACGAAAGAAAUGACGGUACCGUAAGAGAAAGCCACGGCUAACUACGUGCCAGCCGCCGC